rnacentral:hammerhead_ribozyme from 1 species
GCGCUGCUGAGGAGUCCCACAAUAGAACGAGACGACCGUCCAGUGC